rnacentral:lncRNA from 1 species
UAUGUUCUGCCCUCGGAGGCACUGCUCAACAAGUCGGCCCAAUCGCUGACCUGGGUAAGUGUGUUCCCGUUUUCCUGGUUCGUCCAUCCGAUGCCGGCCUUCUUGAUCCGUUUCCCUCUGCGCAGGGUCUCCACUACGCGGUGGCUCUGAUGGACCGGGUGUGCGACGCAGGGCGAGUCAUCGGGGGCCUCGUCCAUCGCAACGCCGAGCUCCACCGCCAGAUCGCAGAGGUUCAAGCUGGGGCCGGCCCAGAGGCCGUGGCGGCCGCGGAAAAGCGUGCGGCGGG